AGAGUUUGAUCCUGGCUCAGGACGAACGCUGGCGGCGUGCUUAACACAUGCAAGUCGAGCGGUAAGGCCCUUCGGGGUACACGAGCGGCGAACGGGUGAGUAACACGUGGGCAACCUGCCCCUAGCUCUGGGAUAAGCCUGGGAAACUGGGUCUAAUACCGGAUACGACCUUCGGAUGCAUGUCCGGGGGUGGAAAGUUC
rnacentral:rRNA from 1 species